rnacentral:lncRNA from 1 species
AUGGGGCGGGGCUGGCGGGGCCACUCAGGCCCAGCCCCGCUGCCCCUCCUGGCUCUGCCUGGCCCUGAUGGGCCUCCGGAAACAGGAGUUGUUGGCAGGAAACCACUGGCCACCCGUCACGGGGGCAAAGAUAAAGCUCUCUGCCGGCUCCUCGAGUUAUUCCUCCAAAACCUGGCAAGAUGGAGCUCUGGCCAAGGCCUGCGGGAAUCUGGAGUCGCCUCAGACGAGGAAAUGGAAGCUCAGAGAAGAGAAAUGAGUUGGUCCAGCUCACCCAGUGGAACUGGUGGUUCCAGCUGGAAGCAGGGCCUUGGAGGCCCCAGAGUCCGAGCUGCGCCACCCCUGAGACUGAUAAGGAGUCGUCUUCCUGGCAAGCCGUUAGCCAGAAGUGCUCCUGGCAGGGAGCCAGGCCUGGGGCUGGGAAUCCCCACAGCCUGUCUGAAUGGGGGUCGCCCACAGAGGGCUGCCCGAGGCCCCUUCCAGCACCCUGGCCUGUCUCUCCUUGCCAAGUGGACCAGUCUCACCCCUGUCGGAGAGUUUCUGCUAAUCUGGGAGCCAGGCUUGCUGGAGAGACUGAGGAGAGAUUGGCUGAGGGACAGAUUUGCUUGGAGGACACACCUGUGCUUGUCACAGCCUGGGCCCUGGCGCUGA